rnacentral:lncRNA from 1 species
CUUUCGCAUAGGCCAAAAGAAUACAUCUCUCCCCAACCUCGUUUUCUCUCUCCAAUUCAUGGAUCACCCAAGUAAACCAGAGCUUCCUGAGACGAUGCAUCAGCUGUGACAGGGGCGUGGAGGUGACAGCUUUCAACCUUGGGCUUCAUCUCAAUGAUGAAGACACUCCUCCCCCUGCUUAUUUUGACCACAGAAGACUCAUUUUAGCAACACGUACACAUGCAGGUACAUACAUGGUAUCAAUGAGCAUAGCUUACAUCUUUUCAUGUUUAUUAAAGGUUUUGAAAAGUUCAUACAGCGUCAUGAGAUUCUAUCUGCUGUACACUAACCACCUGUCCCAUGUAGGAACACAUGCUGCAGUAGAGUCAACAUGUUAAUAUGUACAAAAGCAGAAUUCUUACUAAAAAGACCUAGACAAAGAGAGUAAGCUUGGAAUAAACCUGAAGAAAUGUAGUAUGGGAAAGAUUUCAGCAAUGCCUCCUGAAGGACCCAGGAUGCUCCCAUGCCAGAGCUGGGAGACAUGUGAUUACAGACGUGCCGCAGAGCCCGAGUGACAGUGGCUUAUAAACACAAGAAAACACAACACACUCUUCAGGAGUGCCACAAGGAGAGGUCCCAGAACCCUUUGCUGAAGGACAGAAAGGCUUUGAUGAGACCAGAAUCACACACAGACAUGGUCCUUCAUGUGACCCAUUAAAGGUUCUCUUAUGUGGAAGCUGAAUAUGACAACCCUGCUUGCAGUCCCAAGGGUCCCAGCAGUCCUUUCCUGCUACCGCACUUGGCUGCUUGUGGCACUUGGAUGCAAGCGCUUAACUGGCGCUAAUCGGGAGAGGCCCAGACGCAGGCUCUGACUCGGGGACUUGGCAGGUGUUCCUGCCAAUGCAUUGCUGCUAGAGUUCCUGCUCCCAGAGGCAGCUGCAGGAGAAACCAAAGGCAAGCAAAGGGUUAGGUCCGGCUCUACAGAGCCCAUCAUGAGCUGC